rnacentral:tmRNA from 1 species
GGGGUUGACAGGAUUUGACGGCGAGAUGAGAUGGUACGUAAGCACGCGGAGCGGGACUAUGGGAGGCUCCUUAAUCUCUUCUGUAGGAAAAUUAAUUGGCAACAACGAGUAUGCUCUCGCUGCUUAAUCGAAGUACAGUAGAUUAGAGCUUUAUUCCACUACAAGGUAGAGGAACGAGACGUCGCCCCAAAGAUGUUGUCCCGAAUCUGAGGACAUGGCGGCGCAGGCAAAUCGGGAAUAGCCGCAACGGUGCCCUGACGGUGCGGUGAAGUUUUAAGGGCUAAGGUUGUGAUUGGUGGCCUGGGUCUUGUCACAACACGAAAAUGAAGUCCAGGAUAAGCGUGUAGAAAGCGUAUGGUUUCCUCGUGCGGACGAGGGUUCGAUUCCCUCCAGCUCCACA